CUAAGUUCAGCGGGUAACUCCUACCUGAUCCGAGGUCAACUGUGGAAAAAACACUGAAUGACCAAUGCCCACCGGUCCCUCCCGAGUGAGUGACAGAGCCCCAUACACUCGAGGACCCGACACGACAUCGCCACUGCCUUUCGGAUCGUCCCCCGGAAAUUGGGGGACCGCACCCAACACACAAGCCGCGCUUGAGGGCA
rnacentral:misc_RNA from 1 species